rnacentral:rRNA from 1 species
CCCUUAGAUGUUCGGGGCCGCACGCGCGCUACACUGAAUGAAUCAGCGAGUGUAUGUCCUAGGCCGAAAGGUCCGGGUAACCCGUUGAACCUCAUUCGUGAUUGGGAUAGGGACUUGCAAUUGUUUCCCUUGAACGAGGAAUUCCCAGUAAGCGCAAGUCAUCAGCUUGCGUUGAUUACGUCCCUGCCCUUUGUACACACCGCCCGUCGCUCCUACCGAUUGAGUGGUCCGGUGAGGCUUUGGGAUCUGAGCAAAAAGAGCGUUUCGCUCGUUUGGCUCGGAAAACUCAGUCGAACCUUAUCAUUUAGAGGAAGGAGAAGUCGUAACA